GCUCCCAUAGUCUAGCCCGGUCAAACUAAGCUUAAAAAGUUUAAGCAAAAUAGGACUAAGGACAUGAGCCUCUCGCGCUCAAGACCCGAGUUCAAAUCUCGGUGGGAGCA
rnacentral:tRNA from 1 species